rnacentral:misc_RNA from 1 species
AAGUCGUAACAAGGUUUCCGUAGGUGAACCUGCGGAAGGAUCAUUAACAAAAAGUAAAGGGGGUAAUAUAUAUAUGUACUGUGUUGUGGUAAAACACACACACACACAUAUAUAUAUUACUCUUUUUGACACAUUGUGCACAUUUAUGACUAUUGUAUAAUUUUUAUUUUAUAAUUGAAACAACUUUUAACAAUGGAUCUCUUGGCUCUU